UACAGAGGGGGCCAGCGUUAUUCGGAAUUAUUGGGCGUAAAGGGCGCGUAGGCGGCUUUGCGUGUCUUUCGUGAAAUCCCUCGGCUCAACUGAGGACGUGCGGAAGAAACUGCAGGGCUGGAGUCCGGGAGAGGAGGGUGGAAUUCCCAGUGUAGCGGUGAAAUGCGUAGAUAUUGGGAGGAACGCCGGUGGCGAAGGCGGCCCUCUGGACCGGUACUGACGCUGAUGCGCGAAAGCGUGGGGAGCAAACGGG
rnacentral:rRNA from 1 species